rnacentral:rRNA from 1 species
CCUACGGGCGGCAGCAGUAGGGAAUCUUCGGCAAUGGGGGGAACCCUGACCGAGCAACGCCGCGUGAACGAAGAAGUUAUUCGUAAUGUAAAGUUCUUUUAACAGGGAAGAAAGAGAAAUUUGACGGUACCUGAAGAAUAAGCUCCGGCUAACUACGUGCCAGCAGCCGCGGUAAUACGUAGGGAGCGAGCGUUAUCCGGAAUUAUUGGGCGAAAAGGGUGCGUAGAUGGCAUAGUAAGUCUUUUGUAAAAAUGCUGGGCUCAACCCAGUAGGGCAAAAGAUACUGCAAAGCUAGAGUAUGACAGAGGCAAGUGGAACUACAUGUGUAGCGGUAAAAUGCGUAAAUAUAUGUAAGAACACCAGUGGUGAAGGCGGCUUGCUGGGUCGAUACUGACAUUGAGGCACGAAAGCGUGGGGAGCAAACAGGAUUAGAUACCCGAGUAGUC